GAUCGGAACGUACGAAAUAUCAAAUGGACGACCGGUUAGAACAACAGAAUACGUUCGAUCACAACUGAUAUUUGGUACCAUUCGAUAGCGAACGAUCGGUCAUUUGUAACAAUAGAAAGUUAUAGUAGGCACAAUGUCAAUUGACUGGUCAAAAUUUGGUCAAUUGACCAAUGAAGUUAUAAACGGUUAUAUACAAGUGAAACUAGAAAAAUAUGAAAUAUAUGUUUAAAUUUUCAAUUUUAUUGCACAACAGGAUCUUUUUGUACAUUUGGUCAUAAUUUUAUAGAAGAUAUGGUUUAAUAUUUUUUUAAAACUGGACACUAGUACAUGAAAAAGUUGGAAUUUUAGUAACUUUGAUGUUUCAAAAUAACUAAAUCUUAAAAAAAAUAAUUUAAAAAUUACGGUAAUAAGGAGAGGAACAGUUUAAGGAAAUUUUUACCUUCAUACCACAGUACAACAAAAUCGAACUUCAGUACUUAUUUACAGAAAAAUAAUGCGUUCCCAACUAAGAUAUUUUUAUGGCUAUUAUGACAUUUUUUUAAAAUAUAUUGUAAUUCUA